rnacentral:rRNA from 1 species
GACAGAGGAUGCAAGCGUUAUCCGGAAUGAUUGGGCGUAAAGCGUCUGUAGGUGGCUUUUUAAGUCCGCCGUCAAAUCCCAGGGCUCAACCCUGGACAGGCGGUGGAAACUACCAAGCUGGAGUACGGUAGGGGCAGAGGGAAUUUCCGGUGGAGCGGUGAAAUGUGUUGAUAUCGGAAGGAACGCCGGUGGCGAAAGACGACACACUGGGUCUCAACUGACGCUGAGGCACGAAAGCCAGGGGAGCGAAUGGG